GACGAACGCUGGCGGCGUGCUUAACACAUGCAAGUCGAGCGAGAAAGCACCUUCGGGUGUGAGUAAAGCGGCGAACGGGUGAGUAACACGUGGGUAACCUGCCCUGGAGACCGGGACAUCCAUUCGAAAGGAUGGCUAAUACCGGAUAUCCUGCGGAAUCGCAUGGUUCCGUAGAAAAUGGUAGCUUCGGCUUCUGCUUCAGGAUGGACCCGCGGCCCAUUAGCUUGUUGGUAGGGUAACGGCCUACCAAGGCGACGAUGGGUAGCCGGCCUGAGAGGGUGAGCGGCCACACUGGAACUGAGACACGGUCCAGACUCCUACGGGAGGCAGCAGUGGGGAAUCUUGCGCAAUGGGCGAAAGCCUGACGCAGCAACGCCGCGUGUGUGAUGAAGGUCGUCGGAUCGUAAAGCACUGUCGGGAGGGACGAAUAAGGUGCCGGCUAACACUCGGCGCCGAUGACGGUACCUCCAAAGGAAGCACCGGCUAACUCUGUGCCAGCAGCCGCCGUAACAC
rnacentral:rRNA from 1 species